GAAGCACAAGCCUUGCUUGCUGGAUUUCUUGGAACAUUGGCUGCUGAUUGCAAGUUAUUUCCUAUGGAUUAUGAUAGGUGGUCUGGACCUUCAGGCGUACCUAAAGCUUAUUUUGAUGAUUGCUUUGAAACAAUUUUAAAGCCUCGAUUUUAUUUUUAGAUUAAUGAAGCUAGUGCAAAACGGUAUUGCAAAAUGAGUAUGGGAAGGAAAUGGGCUGCAAAUAGGCAAAGCUUGUGGAAUGAAUUCAAUGAUCCAACCUAAACAAGAGAUGAAAUCGUAAGAAAUGUGCCGAUAGGCAUAGAUAAAGAUCAAUGGGCUCGUUUUGUUCAUUAUCGUCAAAAACCAUCAACAUUGGAACUUUGUAAGAGAAAUAAA